GGUAUAGCUCAGAGGUACAGCAAUCGACUGCAGAUCGAGAGAACCUUGGUUCAAACCCAAGAAUCA